UCAACCCUAGGUCAGGCGGGAUUACCCGCUGAGUUUAGGCAUAUCAAUAAGUAGAGGAAAAGAAACUUACAAGGAUUCACUUAGUAAUGGCGAGCAAACUGGGAACUACCCAGCUUUAGAAUCGGGCGGCUCCAUCGUCCGAAUUGCAGUUUGGAGAAGCGUCCUCAGCGGCGGACCGGGCCUAAGUCCCCUGGAAGGGGGCGCCAGAGAGGGUGAGAUCCCUAUUGUGCUCAGACCCUCUUACACUACGAGGCAGUGUCUACGAGUCGGGUUUGUUUAGGAAUGCAGCCCAAAUUGGGUGGUGAAUUCCGUCCAAGGCAAAAUACGGGUGACAGACCGAUAGCGAACAAGUACUGCGAGGGAAAGAUGAAAAAGACUUUAAAAAGGGAGUCAAAGAGUGCUUGAAAUUAUUGAGAAGGAAGCGGAUGGGGGCUAGCGAUGUGCCCCGGUCGGAUGUGGAAAGGCGACGAGCAAGUCUGCCGAUCGACUCUUGAUACGCUCGUGGAAUGCUGUCUCCUCGAUUGUGGCAGCCAGUGCGUGCCUCCGGCAUGCUUUGGCAUCUAUGCGCUAUGGACGCUUGCCUGUGGUCUCCCCAUUGACCCAUCUUAAAAAAGGGACCAAGAAGUCUGACAUGUGUGCGAGUCAACGGACGAGUAAACCCGUAAGGCGUAAGGAAGCUGAUUGGUUGUAUCCCCCCGAGGGGUGCACCGUCAACCAACCUUGAUCUUCUAAGAAGGGUUCGAGUGUGAGCAUACCUGUCGGGACCCAAAAGAUGGUGAAGUAUGCCGGAGCGGAGUAAAGCCAGAGGAAACUCUGGUGGAGGCCCGCAGCGAUACUAACGUUUCAAUCGUUCGUCUGACUUGGGCGUAGGGCCUGCGGAUGCUUUGUCAAGACGUACCACAGAAUCAAGAGCUCCAAGUGGACCAUUUUUGGUAAGCAGAACUGGCGAUAUGGGAUGAACUAAAAGCCAGGUUAUGGUGCAAAACUGUGCGGUAACCUAGAUCCCACAAAGGGUGUUGGUCGAUUAAGACAGCAGGACGGUGGCCAUGGAAAUCAAAAUUCGUUAAGGAGUGUGUAAAAACUCACUUGCCAAAUGAACUAGCCCCAAAAAUGGAUGGCAUUAAGCGCAGACCUAAACCCGGCCGUCGGGGAAAGUUCCAGGCCCCGAUGAGUAGGAGGGCGCGGCGGUCGCUGGAAAACCUUGGGCGCAAAUCCGAGCGAAGCGAUCGUCGGUGCAGAUAUUAGUGGUACUAGCAAAUAUUCAAAUGAGAACUUUGAAGGUCGAAGAGGGGAAAGGUUCCAUGUGUACGGCACUUGUACAUGGAUUAGUCGAUCCUAAGGGUCGGGAGAACCCAGACAGAUAGUGCAUUUCUCACGUACUCCGAAAAGGAAUUGGGUUAAAAUUCCUAGAUAGGGACGUGGCAGUCGACGACAAUGUUAAGAAGUCCGAAGACGUCAGCGGGAGCCUCGGUAAGAGUUGUCUUUUCUAUUUAAAAGCUUUCCUUCCCUGGAAUCCGCUUAGCUGGAGGUAGGGUCCAGCGGCUGGAAGAGCACCGUACGUCACGUGGUGUCCGGUGUACUACCGGCGGUCCUUCAAAAUCUAGAGCACCAAAUUUCAUCCAUACCCGGUUGUACUCAUAACCAUAUCAGGUCUCCGAGGGGAACAACCUCUGGUAGAUGGAACAAUGUAGGCAAGGGAAGUCGACAAAAUGUAUUCGUAACUUAUGGAAAAGGAUUGGCACUAAGGGCUGGGCACGAGGGUCCCAAUAUCAAACCCGUCGGCUGUCAGUGAACUACUCGAGCUGCUCCCACAGUAAGAUCAGGUCGCCGCAUGUCGGUCAGGGGACGGACUAAGAAUGGUUCCUUUAGGGGCCUUCCCAGCGUGUCGAACAGCCAACUCAGCACUAGUAUGGACAAGGGGAAUCCGACUGUUUAAUUAAAACAAAGCAUUGCGAUGGUCCCAAAGAAUGUUCACGCAUUGUGAUUUUUACCCAGUGCUCUGAAUGCCAAAGUGAAGAAAUUCAACCAAGCAUGGGUAAACGGCGGGAGUAACUAUUACUCUCUUAAGGUAGCCAAAUGCCUCGUCAUCUAAUUAGUGAUGUGCAUAAAUGGAUUAAUGAGAUUCCUACUAUCCCUGUCUACUAUCCAGCGAAACCACAGACAAGGGAACAGGCUUGGCAAAAUCAGCGGAGAAAGAAGACCCUCUUGAGCUUAGCUCUUCUCCGACUUUGUGAAAUGAAUUGAGAGAUGUAGUAUAAGUGGGAGCCGAAAGGCAAAAGUGAAAUACCACUACUUUUAAGAUUAUUUUACUUAUUCCGUGAUUUGAAAGCGGGGCACUGCCCUUUUUUUUGGACCCAAGGCUCACUCUGCAGGCUGAUCUGGGAGAAAGACACUGUCAGGUGGGGAGUUUGGCUGGGGCUUCACAUCUUUUAAAAUAUAACGCAGGCUUCCUAAGAUGAGCUCAAUGAGAACAGAAAUAUCGUGUGGAACAGAAGGAUAAAAUUUCGUUUGAUUUUGAUUUCCAGUACGAAUAUGAACCAUGAAAGCAUGGCCUAACGAUCCUUAAGACCUUCAAAAUUCGAAGCUAGAGGUGUUAGAAAAAUAUUACCACAGGGAUAACUGGCCUGUUGCAGCCAAGCGUUCAUAGCGACGUUGCUUUUUCAUCCUUCGAUGUCGGCUUUUCCUAUUAUUGCGAAGCAGAAUUCACCAAGUAUUGGGUUGUUCACCCACCAAUAGCGAACGUGAGCUGGGUAUAGAACGUCGUUAGACAGGUUAGUUUUACCCUACUUAUGACAGUAUCCCAUUAGCAAUUCAACCUAGUGGGAGGGGAAAUAUUGAUUCACAUAAUUUGUCAUCGUGCUUGGUUGAAAAGCCAGCAGCGCAAAGCUAACGUAUGCUAGAUUAUGAAUGAACACCUCUAAGUCAGAAUCUGGCCUAGAAGUGAUGCAUGCACCCUCUGUCUGAUUGACGACCCGCAGUAGGGGCCUUGGCCCCCAAGGGCACGUGUCGUUUGCUAUGCCACCGCGGCGGAAGAGUCGCGGUGGCUUCCUUGAAGUAUAAUUUCCAUCAA
rnacentral:rRNA from 1 species